ensembl:misc_RNA 7SK 7SK RNA
GGAUGUGAGGGUGAUCUGGCUGUGACAUCUGUCACUCCAUCGAUUGCCAGGGUUAAUUUGGCUGAUCUGGCUGGCUAGGUAGGUGUCCCCUACCUCCCUCACCACUCCAUGUUCAUCCCUCCCGAAGAGGCGUGCUCGGUCAAAGAGGACGACCAUAACUGAUAGAGGACUGGCCUUCAGUCAAGGGUAUAUGGUAGCUGCGCUCCCCUGCUAGAAUCUUCAAGCUUAAUGGCACACUCAUGCACAGGUGAUUAAAUACAAGCAGUCAAGGCCUGCAUCCCCGACUUGAAUGGAAGCUCAAUGAGGGCAGAAGCUCUUUG